GGGAGGAAGAGGAUGUUGGUGAUAAGAGUGUCAGUUAGCGUUCCUGGGUGUGGGCGGUAGCUGCUCGAACCUCACACAUCCUGUCUUCUCUCAGUGUGUGAGGCAUCAGCAGAGAGAACUUCAUGUAUCUUCUCUCUGAGGACAGGACUGAGUGUGUGUCUCCUUCACAGGAAGUGUCCUGUCUGAGGAUGUGCCCUCUGGGUACGAAGAUGUGGAGGACAGUGAGGGAGACCCCCUCUCAGGGACAGAUGAGAAGAAAGAAUACUAUGACGAUGCUGUUCCUCUGGAGAGGAGUGCUGGACUGAUGGGGACAGAAGACACAGCGGAGGACUAUGAUGAUGCUGUGGGUGUAGAACAGAGUCGACAUUUUUCACCAGAAGAAAAAGCGUUAACCACUGUG